GAGUUUGAUCUUGGCUCAGGAUGAACGCUAGCGGGAGGCCUAACACAUGCAAGCCGAGCGGUAUUGUUUCUUCGGAAAUGAGAGAGCGGCGUACGGGUGCGGAACACGUGUGCAACCUGCCUUUAUCUGGGGGAUAGCCUUUCGAAAGGAGGAUUAAUACUCCAUAAUAUAUUGAACGGCAUCGUUUAAUAUUGAAAGCUCCGGCGGAUAGAGAUGGGCACGCGCAAGAUUAGCUAGUUGGUGAGGUAACGGCUCACCAAGGCGAUGAUCUUUAGGGGGCCUGAGAGGGUGAUCCCCCACACUGGUACUGAGACACGGACCAGACUCCUACGGGAGGCAGCAGUGAGGAAUAUUGGUCAAUGGGUGCAAGCCUGAACCAGCCAUCCCGCGUGAAGGACGACUGCCCUAUGGGUUGUAAACUUCUUUUGUAUAGGGAUAAACCUACCCUCGUGAGGGUAGCUGAAGGUACUAUACGAAUAAGCACCGGCUAACUCCGUGCCAGCAGCCG
rnacentral:rRNA from 1 species